rnacentral:sRNA from 1 species
CCUAUUUUGGGAUUAAAAGGAGCUGUUGCUUGUUCUCUUCCUUCCCUGCAGAGUUGAGCGUUAUGAUGAAGCUGCUCAGCUCGGAGGAUGAGGUUCUGGUGGGCAACGCUGCCCUCUGCCUUGGUAACUGCAUGGAGGUGCCCAACGUUGCGUCUUCCCUGCUAAAGACGGACCUUUUGCAGGUCUUGUUAAAGCUCGCAGGCAGUGACACACAGAAGACGGCCGUGCAAGUGAACGCAGGCAUUGCUCUGGGGAAGCUGUGCACAGCUGAGCCCAGCCUAAACAAAUGGAGGAACGGCCAGCAAGGGUCACAUGUUCAUGCAGGAGAAAACAGUGGAGAAGGAGAGAUGCAGAACAGCAUGCCGAGGUCCCCAGUUUGCUGCUCAACUGAGAAAGCUUCAUGGCCUAGAAAUUCUCAACUCUACGAUGAAAUACGUCAGUGAUUCUUGAGAGAUGCAGGGUUUGUGUGCCUUUGGGGAACACACAGAUGCACACUGUGUGUUGUUCCUAUGCUAAUAAAGACCUUUGAUAUAUCC